UACGUAGGUGGCAAGCGUUGUCCGGAUUUACUGGGCGUAAAGAGCGCGCAGGCGGUCGUUCAAGUCGCGUGUGAAAGCCCCCCGGCUCAACUGGGGAGGGUCACGCGAUACUGAUCGACUCGAAGGCAGGAGAGGGUAGUGGAAUUCCCGGUGUAGUGGUGAAAUGCGUAGAGAUGUGGAGGAACACCUGUGGCGAAGGCGCCUUGCUGGCCGAUUUCUGACGCUGAGGCGCGAAGGUCAGGGGGAGCAAACGGG
rnacentral:rRNA from 1 species